AUAUAUAUAGGGAGCUAUUCUAGUACAAACUAAAUUAUUCUAAAAACCUACAAACCUAGUCCAAUCCAAUAGCAAAGCCCAGUCCAAUAACAAAACAGCCCAAUCCAUCAGACAAAAUAGCCACCCAUCAGACAAAUUUAAACGACGACAAAUUAAAAUAAUUAAUAUUAUAGUUAGAUACACCUAUACAUACAUUAUAGUUACGCUUCUUUGCUCUCGCACUUUUUUUCUUCCUCAAACAAAGGUACGAAUCGCGCCAUACAACUACGAAACGCAUUUUCUUUCAAUUACUCACUGAUUUCUUCAUGUAUUUGACACAGCGGUUCAAUUUCACAGCGAAAUCGAGCACCAAAGUCGAACGACUUCAAUCACUGAAGUCGAAUUAAGCAAAAUCAGUUUCAAAAAUCUUCAAAAGUGAUUGUAGGCUUUCCAUGACCAACUCCAAUCAAUGAUGAAGAUGUAAGAAUUACUCCAACUUUUAUACUUUUAUUAUCCUACUCAAUAAAGACAGUUGUCUAAUAAUAGUAUAUUUGUACUUGAUACUGCAGCAUGGCCAGCGAAAUCACAUUAUCAGACUCUGAGUCAAAUAUAACAAUGUGAUUUUAUCAUCGUCACUGAAUCUGAAGAGAUCAGAAAUCAUGAAAGUGGGGAAGCAAAUAUAUAUUGAUAUGGUGCCAAAGAAACUGAUCAAUUUUGCCAUCCAAUUUGCACAAGCGUCUCAAGAAGAAGACAUAGCAGCAACUACUCAACCAAAGCCUGCUAAGAAGAAGACUGUCAGAUUUGCAAAAAACCUCACCAGCAAUUUUAAUGAAGUUCAGAAUGACAACCAAUGAUUGUUUCGGAAACUGAUGAUUGUUUCAGCAACUACUUUUGAUGAAAAUCCACAACGACCACUUGACAAGAAAAGAUUGUUUAAAGAACUAAUUAGAUUAUUUUUGUGAUUUCUUUUGUGUCGAAUAUUACUAAAAUCCACAAUGUGGAAAAUUAUCUGUGGCAUUCUAGAUUGGUUAUUGACUUUUUCAUGAUGCUAUUGUACAAAGAUUUUAAAAUUUUCUGCAAGUAUCAAUCUUACUUUUUACUUCUUCA